rnacentral:ncRNA from 1 species
GAAGCCCUGUUGCUCACGAAGGCUUGAGUUCCACUCGAGUCACGCCAUUUGGCAUAGUGAGCACGGGGCUUU